AUGAUUGAAACUGAGAAACAUUUGGUUUUCCCACUGGUGUACAGAAUCAUAGAGUUGGCUUUGUUAUUGCCAGUCUCAACGGCAUCGGUCGAAAGAGCUUUCUCGGCAAUGAAGAUUAUCAAAUCUAAAUGGCGCAGCAAGAUGAAUGAUACAUGGUUUAAUGACUUGAUGAUUUGCUACACCGAGCGGGAGAUUUUUAAAGGACUUGAUGAUGAUGCUAUUAUUAAACGGUUUCAAGCCAUGAAGUAUCGGAAAGGGCAAUUGCCCAGGUCCAAUUAG
rnacentral:rRNA from 1 species